UCUACCCGCUGAAAUUUAAUCUUUUCAAUAAGCGGAGGAAAAGAAACUAACCAGGAUUCCCUUAGUAACGGCGAGCGAACCGGGAAAAGCCCAACUUGAAAAUCUCCUGUCUUCGGCAGGCGAAUUGUAGUCUAUAGAUCCGUUCUCUGCGCCCAGGCGGACCGAAGUUCCUUGGAAAAGGACGUCGUAGAGGGUGAGAGCCCCGUAGGUCCGUCGGUGGUGCUCCACGAGGCGGAAUCAAAGAGUCGGGUUGUUUGGGAAUGCAGCCCAAAGUCGGUGGUGAAUCCCAUCUAAGGCUAAAUAAGGGCGAGAGACCGAUAGCGAACAAGUACCGCGAGGGAAAGAUGAAAAGAACUUUGAAGAGAGAGUGAAAUAGUGCCUGAAAUUGUUGGGGGGGAAGUGGUAGGACGUCGGGGUGCCGCGUGGCUUAGGUCCCCCGGACGGGGGGCUGUAUGCUCACGUGGCUGGUCAGCACGGGUAUGCCGGUGGGGAGAAAUGCCGGAUUUGUUUCCGGCUCCUACCUGGCGGUGUACCGAGGAAAAACGGGUGCCGCGACCCUCGUGGAUCUGCGCCCGCAAGAUCGUCC
rnacentral:rRNA from 1 species